GGGCCGAAGAACGACGAGAGGAGCUCGCACCACGGAGAUUAGGGCUCGGUUCCUCAACUUUGACGCAAAGAGGGAGCCGCGGGGUUGACCUAGGACGUUAUAUGGGUCUCGGUUUGCGCGUUUGGGAAGGAAAUCCCGAGAACUCAGGCCUCGGUUCGAUCCGGCCGAGUCCGUCUCGCCCACGACGCUGGGAAGAAGAUGGGAGGGGGCGAGACACUGCCGGGUGGGGUCGGUUGUCAGCGACUGAGAGAGAAGGGGGAGGCGCUGUGCUGCGGGGCCGGCUCGUCAGCGAGCCAAGGCAGAGGGGCGCGCCCGCCAGGCCACGCGCGGGCUGGGCCGAGGAAAGGGAGUGGGCCGGGGCGCGGGGGAGGGGAGAAGAAAGAGCAGGCCGGGGGAAGUGAGGGGAGCUGGGCCUCGGCCUGGAUCCCAGGGGCUUUCUCUUUUUUUUUCUAAUUUCUUUUCUGUUUUGUUUUAUUUUUUUUUUCAAAGCCUUUUCAGAAAGGAUUUUGAGGACAAUUAAAUACAAACCAAAUACAAUCAACACAAAAUAAAAUAUGUCUCAGCAUGAAUGCACAAAAUCAUGUUACUAAGCUUAUGAUAAAUUUUAAUUUUCACAAAAAUUAUUUAUUUGCUACAUUAAAUGCUCACUAAAAUUCUUAAAUAAUUCAAAUUAAAUCCUAUUAAUUAAAAUUCAAAAUUUUGGGUGUUACAGCUGGCCUCCUCACCGUUGUGUAUGGCCACGCACCAUCGUCAGCGGGAGCCCAACCAUGUCGUAGCAUGGUAGUAUGGCACUGCACGACCGCCUCCGCACCACCCCCAACACUCACACUUGCCU
rnacentral:lncRNA from 1 species